GACGUAGGGGGCCAGCGUUGCUCGGAAUUACUGGGCGUAAAGGGUCCGUAGGCGGUGCGGUAAGUCGGGAGUGAAAUCUCUGGGCUUAACUCAGAGGCUGCUUCCGAAACUACCGUGCUAGAGUGCGAGAGAGGCAAGUGGAAUUGCGGGUGUAGCGGUGAAAUGCGUAGAUAUCCGCAGGAACAUCCGAGGCGAAAGCGGCUGCUGGAUCGCAACUGACGCUGAGGGACGAAAGCUAGGGGGAGCAAACAGG
rnacentral:rRNA from 1 species